UACGUAGGUGGCAAGCGUUAUCCGGAAUUAUUGGGCGUAAAGAGCGCGCAGGUGGUUAAUUAAGUCUGAUGUGAAAGCCCACGGCUUAACCGUGGAGGGUCAUUGGAAACUGGUUGACUUGAGUGCAGAAGAGGGAAGUGGAAUUCCAUGUGUAGCGGUGAAAUGCGUAGAGAUACGGAGGAACACCAGUGGCGAAGGCGGCUUCCUGGUCUGCAACUGACACUGAGGCGCGAAAGCGUGGGGAGCAAACAGG
rnacentral:rRNA from 1 species